CCUACGGGUGGCUGCAGUCGAGAAUCAUUCACAAUGGGGGAAACCCUGAUGGUGCGACGCCGCGUGGGGGAAUGCAGGUCUUCGGAUUGUAAACCCCUGUCAUGCGGAGCAAAAUAAAAAGAUAGUACCACAAGAGGAAGAGCCGGCUAACUCUGUGCCAGCAGCCGCGGUACUACAGGGGGCGCAAGCGCUGUUCGGAAUCACGGGGCGGAAAGGGUGCGUGGGCUGUUUGGUAAGGCGGGUGUGAAAGGCGGGGGCUCAACCCGCGGACGGCGCAGGGUACUGCGUGGCUAGAGUAAGGGGGGGGGAGGCGGAAUUCGCGGUGUAGCGGUGAAAUGCGUAGAUAUCGAGAGGAACACUCGUGGCGAAGGCGGGUUCCGGGAGAGUGACUGACGCUGAGGCACGAAGGCCAGGGGAGCGAAAGGGAUUAGAUACCCGAGUAGUC
rnacentral:rRNA from 1 species